rnacentral:sRNA from 1 species
AGCGAAGCGAGAGAACGUUGCGUCAGCAACGGCCCGCAGGGCGAGUCACGCAGUGGCGAGUCAUCCUCUAUCACCGACCA